rnacentral:rRNA from 1 species
UGGCGGCAGGCUUAACACAUGCAAGUCGAGCGGUAACAGGAAUUAGCUUGCUAAUUUGCUGACGAGCGGCGGACGGGUGAGUAACGCGUAGGAAUCUGCCUGGUAGUGGGGGACAACAUGUGGAAACGCAUGCUAAUACCGCAUACGCCCUACGGGGGAAAGGAGGGGAUCUUCGGACCUUUCGCUAUCAGAUGAGCCUGCGUGAGAUUAGCUAGUUGGUGGGGUAAAGGCUCACCAAGGCGACGAUCUCUAGCUGGUCUGAGAGGAUGAUCAGCCACACUGGGACUGAGACACGGCCCAUACUCCUACGGGAGGCAGCAGUGGGGAAUAUUGGACAAUGGGCGCAAGCCUGAUCCAGCCAUGCCGCGUGUGUGAAGAAGGCCUUCGGGUUGUAAAGCACUUUCAGAAGUGAGGAAGGGUGUGUGGCUAAUAUCCACAUAUCUUGACGUUAGCUUCAGAAGAAGCACCGGCUAACUCUGUGCCAGCAGCCGCGG